rnacentral:tRNA from 1 species
GCUUUGGUGGCUCAGUGGUAGAAUUUUCCCCUUCCACGCGGGAGACCUGGGUUCAAUUCCCAGCCAACGCA